ACCAGCAUCUAUCUUCAUCAAAUCUCUCUCACCAUAGAAGCCCUCUCAAGCUCGAUUCCUCCUCUCUCUCUCUCUCUCUCUCUCUCUCUCCAUUCCACCAGUAGCCAUGAGAGCACUAGUUUGUUGUUGCUCCGCCGUAGCAUCUCCUCCCCCCCUCCCCCCCCCCCCCCCCCCCCCCCCCCCCCCCCCCCCCCCCCCACCGCGUGCUUGGCUGGAACCAGCCAGCCUAGUGCCCGACAACGACCAUUCUUGUAGAUAAAGCUUCAACCUCCGGCUGGAUUUUUGCUGGAACCACUGUUCGACAGCGGCGAUGUCGUGCUAUGAUGGGUGGUGCCUACGGGAGUUGCUGGAAACGAUGUUUGGAUGAGCUACAUUCGGCGAGGAGUACGGGAGAUGAGGAGGAUGUGCUACGCCGGCGAAUUGGAGCUGCGGAGAGAGGCGUGGAGCGAUGGAGAUCCGACUAGCGGCGGAGAUCCAGCGGGUUAGGUCGCUCGUCCAUGGCGCUGGCGCCUGCCAUGCGUGCUCGCAUGAUUUGCAGGGUAGAAACGGUAUGAUGGGGACGAAAGCGACCUGAAUCUGACGGCUAAAAGGGAUUUUAUCGAACGUACCGGGUGUGACCGGCCCAAAUUUGGGCCGGCGCGCCAGCGCCUAGCGUUGAGGAAGUACAGGGUCCAUCACGUGAGAAUCAUAUGGGGAGUGAUAGUUUCGCAUGAAGCACAAGUUGCAUUACAUGCGAUCAGAGUAGUACCAGUGAGGGAGUACAAGUAUGUUGUCUCGGAGAGUUAUACCUGUGUUAUUUGUGGAGCACAAGUUUGUUAUAUUUGUAAGUACAAGUUUUGUAAAAAAAAUUCAUCAAAACA